rnacentral:tRNA from 1 species
GCUGGCAUAGCUCAGUGGCAGAGCACUUGCCUAUCAUGUACAGGAUCCUGGGUUCAAUCCCCAGUCCUGCU